rnacentral:lncRNA from 1 species
CAAGCAAUUCCUUAUGCAUAAUCAUAUCGAGCCUUUUGAGUUUCUUAAUGUUCUUGAUCAUUAUCAAAUAACGAUCAUAAACUGACUGCUCAUCACGCAUCACAUAUGCUGUACGACUCUGAUGAUCUCACAACACUUGUAGAUGAAUCAACAUAUCGUAGGCAGUGAACAUGUGCUCAUGCAUAGCACUUAUCUUAAUUGUUAUUAUCCAUCCACUCAUCAAGUAUAGCUCGUUGACUAUGGGUUGGACGGGUUGUUAACAUUAGAAUAAUCUGGUAGAGAACAUAGCUUAAUUUUCUAAAAUUAAGAACAAUUUUUAGAUUUGUGAAUCAGUCUAUGUACUCAGUUUCGGUUAAUCGGUUGAUAUCUAAGACUCAAGCUAGA